UUAGUUCUCACAAAUUGCAUCACAUCUACUAGGAGAAAACAAUUCUGACAAACUGCAUGACAUCUACAAAUUGCAUGCCAUACUCAAACAGUUCUAACAAUUCUGCUCAACCCUGGUCUUAGUUCUCACAAAUUGCAUGACAUCUACCAGCUUGGCUAGGUCUAGGUCUGCUCAACCUGAGCCUAUAUUCUUUGUCUUUUGGAGGCCUAGAGCUGCCCCAAGUCAAACCUGAAGUUUUUGUCUUGAACCCAACACUGUUAAUGGUUGCUUGGAUUGAAUUAGGUUUGAGCGGGUUCAAUCUUCAACUUCCCUUUUCUAAGAAGUACAAA